UGCCAGCAGCCGCGGUAAUACGAAAGGUGCAAGCGUUGUUCGGAUUUACUGGGCGUAAAGAGAUCGUAGGUGGUUUAUUAAGUCGGAUGUGAAAUCCCGGGGCUCAACCCCGGAACUGCAUUCGAUACUGGUAGACUAGAGUUUGGGAGGGGUAAGCGGAAUUCCGUGUGUAGCAGUGAAAUGCGUAGAUAUACGGAGGAACACCUGAGGCGAAGGCGGCUUACUGGACCAAUACUGACACUGAGGAUCGAAAGCGUGGGUAGCAAACAGGAUUAGAUA
rnacentral:rRNA from 1 species